CGAACACGGUAGUUAAGCUUCUCUGCGCCAAUGGUAGUUGGGGGUUUCCCUCUGCGAGAGUAGGUCGCUGCCGGGC
rnacentral:rRNA from 1 species